rnacentral:snoRNA from 1 species
UCUGGCAAUGAUGACUCACUUGCCCUCACUGAGAACAGAGUUCAAUAAUGAGAAUCUUUGUUAUGGACUCAAGUUCUGAGCCAGA